GAUGAACGCUGGCGGCGUGCCUAAUACAUGCAAGUCGGACGGGGUGUAAGAGUAAUCGAGCAUCUAGUGGCGAACGGGUGAGUAACGCGUUGGUGACCUGCCCCAAAGCGGGGGAUAACAGCCUGAAAAGGUUGCUAAUACCGCAUAAUAUUGGCAAAGAUUAGAAAGUGUCAAUGAAAGGAGCGAUCCACUUUGGGAGGGGCCUGCGUCCCAUCAGCUUGUUGGUGAGGUAAAAGCUUACCAAGGCGAAGACGGGUAGGGGACCUGAGAGGGUGACCCCCCACAAUGGAACUGAAACACGGUCCAUACACCUACGGGUGGGCAGCAGUAGGGGAUAUUGCACAAUAGGCGGAAGCCUGAUGCAGCAACGCCGCGUGAGUGACGAAGGCCUUCGGGUCGUAAAACUACUUUUCUAAGAGGAAGAGGAAGGACGGUACUCUUGGAAUAAGCCUCGGCUAACUACGUG
rnacentral:rRNA from 1 species